AACAGUAUAUUUUAUUUCACUCCAAUAUUGCCAAAAUACUAUUGUUUCAACCUGUAAUCAGUAUAGAAAAAUAUUAAUGAGGUAUCUGACAUUCUUUCUUGCCCCCGAUCCCAGGGCUUGGAAUCACAGCGUGUUUUACACACAGCAGUUUGGACGGCCACAUGUGAUAAGCUACAGCCACACGAGCUGGUGGCUACUGCAGCAGACACAGCAGCCUUAACUGAUACUUGAGAAAACUACCCAAAUCAGUGGUGACUCCCCCUCAUCCCAAAACGCUGAAAAACCUGUAACAAAACAUGUCUAAAUGUCUUUUCAGCAGUUUUCCAAAUGAAGAGGUGCACAAACAGACAUUUCUGGAAAUUCCCCUGACCGACCCUCCAUGAACGGGACCACAAGAUGUGGCAAAGCCAUCGGAUUACGCCCGGGUCAGGUGCUGAUUUAUGGGUCUACAGGAAGGAAAAAGGUGAUCGGCACCUUGGAACACAAAGUAAAUCAUGAAUUCUCAUGAACUGACUGAUGCCAGGAAGAUACUUAAAGCAGCAGCCAGGGGCAGCUCUGUAAAUACCAUUGGAAUCAAGUCUUCAUUAACCGGAAUUUUCAACGUCAUUGGAAACUUUACACCCGUCUGUCAGUGGGACUUCAUAAAGAUUUCGUUUUAAGAAGUGGUUGUUUUGGGUUGAUUGUAGAAACGUGCAGAGGAAACACUCAGAGCAGCAAGUGUCUUUGAAACAUGGUAUUCCUACAUUUGGGGUCAGCUCUAGACCACCUGGCACUGUUUGUCUGCAACUGUUUUCUUAAUUUGUCAAGCACAAACAAACGUGGUUUAUAUAUUGUGAGUACAAUCGGUCCUUGAACAACGUGCGGGUUAGGUUACCGGCCCGGACACAGUUGCAAAUCCACGUGUAACUCUUGCCUUCCCCAAAACUUAACUACUAAUGGCCGACUAUUGAUCUGAAGCCUUACCAAUAACAUUACCAUUCAAUUAAAACAUAUUUUGUAUGUUA